UAGGGAAUCUUCCACAAUGGACGCAAGUCUGAUGGAGCAACGCCGCGUGAGUGAAGAAGGCUUUCGGGNCGUAAAAUCUCUGUUAUUGAAGAAGAACGUGUGUGACAGUAACUGGUCAUGCAGUGACGGUAUUCAAUCAGAAAGUCACGGCUAACUACGUGCCAGCAGCCGCGGUAAUACGUAGGUGGCAAGCGUUGUCCGGAUUUAUUGGGCGUAAAGCGAGUGCAGG
rnacentral:rRNA from 1 species